rnacentral:tRNA from 1 species
GGUUCGGUAGCUCAGUCGGUUAGAGCGCCGCCCUGUCACGGCGGAGGUCGCGGGUACGAGCCCCGUCCGGACCGCCA